ensembl:snRNA U6 U6 spliceosomal RNA
GUUCUCGCUUCAGCAGCACAUAUACUAAAAUUGGUAUGAUACAGAGAAGAGUAGCAUGGCUCCUGGGCAAGAAUGACAUGCAAAUUUGUGAAGCAUUCCAUUUGUUU